AUCUAACAAGCAUUUUAUCAUAUCUAACAACAUUUUAUCAUAUGCAGAAAAAGAUGCUUUAAAAAUCUUAUCGAGAAAGGUGGAAUUGGAAAAAAUCUGCUAGUGAGCUUACCUGUACUUACUGGAAAAUUCAAAAACAAAGAGUAUCCCAUUGAAAACAUGAUGAUUAUGGAGAUGGCACCACCAUCCACUCGUGUGUGUACUCUUCAUCAGUUUUGACAGCUAGCAUCUACAAGACUUACUGCGUAUCACUGAAGUGCUUAA
rnacentral:lncRNA from 1 species